GCGCCAUUGAAGGAUUGGAGCAGCACUGAACACAUUUCAUAAUCAAGAAGACCCAGCCAGCCACCUCUUCACCUGAGGGAGAAACUGCCCAGCCCUGUCUUCCCCCAGUCAAAUAACCAUUCCAUGUGGCAGCAGCAUGUGGGUGGACAAGUUCCAGGUGCCUUGGGAAAAAAUAAGGCCCCUUUCUUACCAUUGAUGCUGGAUGUUGGAGACAUACCAGGAAGAUGCAGUGGCUCUGGUAGCAGUGGUCAAUGAGGAGCAAGAGCCUGCAGGAAUCACCUUUUUCAAACUCACCACGUCAUUCAUACUCAACCAUCAGGUUUUAAUGUGUCACAGACCUUGGAUAGAUAUUCUGAUGAUUUUGUUUGGCGUUAUUUAUGUUUUCCAAUUAAGCUACCUUAAAAAGCUUAGUGUUUUUUUUUUUUAACUUCAUCCAGAGGUUUUGUAGUAU